CUGGAGGACCGAACCGACUAAUGUUGAAAAAUUAGCGGAUGACUUGUGGCUGGGGGUGAAAGGCCAAUCAAACCGGGAGAUAGCUGGUUCUCCCCGAAAGCUAUUUAGGUAGCGCCUCGUGAAUUCAUCUCCGGGGGUAGAGCACUGUUUCGGCAAGGGGGUCAUCCCGACUUACCAACCCGAUGCAAACUGCGAAUACCGGAGAAUGUUAUCACGGGAGACACACGGCGGGUGCUAACGUCCGUCGUGAAGAGGGAAACAACCCAGACCGCCAGCUAAGGUCCCAAAGUCAUGGUUAAGUGGGAAACGAUGUGGGAAGGCCCAGACAGCCAGGAUGUUGGCUUAGAAGCAGCCAUCAUUUAAAGAAAGCGUAAUAGCUCACUGGUCGAGUCGGCCUGCGCGGAAGAUGUAACGGGGCUAAACCAUGCACCGAAGCUGCGGCAGCGACACUAUGUGUUGUUGGGUAGGGGAGCGUUCUGUAAGCCUGUGAAGGUGGCCUGUGAGGGUUGCUGGAGGUAUCAGAAGUGCGAAUGCUGACAUAAGUAACGAUAAAGCGGGUGAAAAGCCCGCUCGCCGGAAGACCAAGGGUUCCUGUCCAACGUUAAUCGGGGCAGGGUGAGUCGACCCCUAAGGCGAGGCCGAAAGGCGUAGUCGAUGGGAAACAGGUUAAUAUUCCUGUACUUGGUGUUACUGCGAAGGGGGGACGGAGAAGGCUAUGUUGGCCGGGCGACGGUUGUCCCGGUUUAAGCGUGUAGGCUGGUUUUCCAGGCAAAUCCGGAAAACCAAGGCUGAGGCGUGAUGACGAGGCACUACGGUGCUGAAGCGACAAAUGCCCUGCUUCCAGGAAAAGCCUCUAAGCAUCAGGUAACAUCAAAUCGUACCCCAAACCGACACAGGUGGUCAGGUAGAGAAUACCAAGGCGCUUGAGAGAACUCGGGUGAAGGAACUAGGCAAAAUGGUGCCGUAACUUCGGGAGAAGGCACGCUGAUAUGUAGGUGAAGCGACUUGCUCGUGGAGCUGAAAUCAGUCGAAGAUACCAGCUGGCUGCAACUGUUUAUUAAAAACACAGCACUGUGCAAACACGAAAGUGGACGUAUACGGUGUGACGCCUGCCCGGUGCCGGAAGGUUAAUUGAUGGGGUUAGCGGUAACGCGAAGCUCUUGAUCGAAGCCCCGGUAAACGGCGGCCGUAACUAUAACGGUCCUAAGGUAGCGAAAUUCCUUGUCGGGUAAGUUCCGACCUGCACGAAUGGCGUAAUGAUGGCCAGGCUGUCUCCACCCGAGACUCAGUGAAAUUGAACUCGCUGUGAAGAUGCAGUGUACCCGCGGCAAGACGGAAAGACCCCGUGAACCUUUACUAUAGCUUGACACUGAACAUUGAGCCUUGAUGUGUAGGAUAGGUGGGAGGCUUUGAAGUGUGGACGCCAGUCUGCAUGGAGCCGACCUUGAAAUACCACCCUUUAAUGUUUGAUGUUCUAACGUUGGCCCGUAAUCCGGGUUGCGGACAGUGUCUGGUGGGUAGUUUGACUGGGGCGGUCUCCUCCUAAAGAGUAACGGAGGAGCACGAAGGUUGGCUAAUCCUGGUCGGACAUCAGGAGGUUAGUGCAAUGGCAUAAGCCAGCUUGACUGCGAGCGUGACGGCGCGAGCAGGUGCGAAAGCAGGUCAUAGUGAUCCGGUGGUUCUGAAUGGAAGGGCCAUCGCUCAACGGAUAAAAGGUACUCCGGGGAUAACAGGCUGAUACCGCCCAAGAGUUCAUAU
rnacentral:rRNA from 1 species